rnacentral:rRNA from 1 species
CUACGGGGUGCUGCAGUGAGGAAUAUUGCACAAUGGGGGGAACCCUGAUGCAGCAACGCCGCGUGGAGGAUGACGCAUUUCGGUGUGUAAACUCCUUUUAUAUGUCAAGAAAAUGACGGUAGCAUAUGAAUAAGCACCGGCUAACUCCGUGCCAGCAGCCGCGGUAAUACGGAGGGUGCAAGCGUUACUCGGAAUCACUGGGCGUAAAGGACGCGUAGGCGGGUUGGAAAGUCAGGUGUGAAAUCCUACAGCUUAACUGUAGAACUGCACUUGAAACUUCUAAUCUAGAGUAUGGGAGGGGGAGAUGGAAUUAGUGGUGUAAGGGUAAAAUCCGUAGAUAUCACUAGGAAUACCUGAAGCGAAGGCGAUCUCCUGGAACAUUACUGACGCUAAGGCGUGAAAGCGUGGGGAGCAAACAGGAUUAGAUACCCCCGUAGUC